UACGGAGGGGGCUAGCGUUGUUCGGAAUUACUGGGCGUAAAGCGCACGUAGGCGGACCGGACAGUCAGAGGUGAAAUCCCAGGGCUCAACCUUGGAACUGCCUUUGAAACUAUCGGUCUGGAGUUCGAGAGAGGUGAGUGGAAUUCCGAGUGUAGAGGUGAAAUUCGUAGAUAUUCGGAGGAACACCAGUGGCGAAGGCGGCUCACUGGCUCGAUACUGACGCUGAGGUGCGAAAGCGUGGGAGCAAACAGG
rnacentral:rRNA from 1 species